UGUCUCUCUUGGCCUCUGCCUGGGUGGUGUGAACAGUCACUAAAGCAGAACCGGGGUGAUGGUUAGGGUGACCUCUCAGAUAUCCACACCACUCCCCAUACCCCUCAACCCCAGCCCCCAGAGGGUCCCUGCGUGAGUGAACGCCUGUUCCCGGGCUCCUUUUUGAGUCAGGUGACCUUUGCAGGGAGAGUUAGAUUCAAAGAAGGUACGUCUCAGAUUCCCACGGCCCCUCCCCCACUGUACCAACCACAAGACAGACAAGAAAACUUUCCUUUCAAGCCCCACAGAUUGACUUUCCCCUUCCACAGCCAGUUUCCUCUCCACUCGGCUCUAACAGACCCCAAAGAAUGGAUCCAUCCCAUCACCACCCCUCAUCCAAGCACUCAUACCUUUCCUUCCUCUUUCUCUCUUUAUUUCCAGAGCGGUUCUAUGGGUUGGCUUGGGGGAACCAGGCCACCUGGGCUGGGGAGGACAGGUCAUGAUGCCACCGAAGGCUGGCAUUGCCCAGCCUUGGCCCGACCCAGCAGGCAACUAGGUGACUUCGGUAUCACUCAGGUAUGAUGAACCACUGGAGGGAGCAUGCUUAAGCCAUCGUGUAAUUGUUGCCAAAAUCUUGGCUCCCUGUCCACCAAUGCCGAAUAGAAAUACGGAGACAAAGUCUGGAGGAAAUAGAAAAGAGUGGCUUUAUUCCUUUGGCCAGGCAAGAGGGAAACACAGCAGGCUAGCACCUCAAGAACUGUGCCCCCCCUCUCCUGGGGGAUUACAGAGGGUCUUAUAGGUAGAACUUGCAGUCCAGGUAAGUGAUAAGGAUCAAAGUGGUGAAGGUUUUGCAUUCUUCUUCUUCUUGCAAUAUUUUAAAUCGGCCACAGCUAGCAAAAGGCAACCGGGUCUGGUGUCCCUGAAGUUAUUGUCCCG